rnacentral:rRNA from 1 species
GACGAACGCUGGCGGCGUGCUUAACACAUGCAAGUCGAACGAUGAACCCGGAGCUUGCUCUGGGGGAUUAGUGUCGAACGGGUGAGUAACACGUGAGUAACCUGCCCUGGACUCUGGGAUAAGCGUUGGAAACGACGUCUAAUACCGGAUAGGACCUUGGAUCGCAUGAUCUGGGGUGGAAAGUUUUUUCGGUCUGGGAUGGACUCGCGGCCUAUCAGCUUGUUGGUGAGGUAAUGGCUCACCAAGGCGUCGACGGGUAGCCGGCCUGAGAGGGUGACCGGCCACACUGGGACUGAGACACGGCCCAGACUCCUACGGGAGGCAGCAGUGGGGAAUAUUGCACAAUGGGCGAAAGCCUGAUGCAGCAACGCCGCGUGCGGGAUGACGGCCUUCGGGUUGUAAACCGCUUUUAGUAGGGAAGAAGGGCUUCGGCUUGACGGUACCUGCAGAAAAAGGACCGGCUAACUACGUG